rnacentral:tRNA from 1 species
GGUGAGACAGACCGAAGGCUAAGGUAUUGAAGUUGUGACCUUCAAGUAGGGGUUCGAUUCCCCAUCUCACACC